CAGCUGCCGGACUGGUGAUCCGGUUUUAUGCAGAAACAUCAUAAAUCCUGCAGAUCAGAGUCAGAGCAGGUCUAACGGUUCUCUAGAAACUUCAUCCAGAAUGUAGAAACUGUAAGUUUAUCCUCUCGUUCACUCCUUCAUGCUGACAGGAAGUUCUCCUGAACCGCCAUGUCUCCUCAGCGGUGAGCACUGCUAGCUAAAGAGUUAGCUGGGCAGGCUAAUCUCAAAACACAAUAAACAUUAGUUCCGCUUAUGCAAAAGAGAAACACAAACAUAUUUAGCAGAUGCUAAUGCUAAAUAGCUACUCCAAUACCUGUUUAGAGGAAGCUAACGCUAAAGCGCUACACCAACACAGUAUUUAGAGGAGGCUAAUGCUAAAAUGCUAACUUCAAUUCAAAUUCUACUGAAAGACAAAUUAUGUACAUUUUGUUUUGACACAAUUGACAUUUCUAUAACACCUUAAAUAUUGUACAUCUUGUUCUUGUUGUAUGUAAGCUAAGUGGCCUAACCCUAACCCUACCGCAAUCACCAUAGCAACCGGUACCUAAGCAUGUUCUGAGCCUCUGCUCCAUCAUGGCCGCCCACACAGAACCUGGCUAACCCAACUGGGUCAGAACUGAUGAACUGAGAACUUAGUGAAGUUCUGUAGAACUCCGCAUUUCCGACGCUUACAAAGCGCUCAGCUGCCAGUAGAAAACAGCUGCAGCCUCCAGGAUCAGGCAGCUUACGCACUGCAGGGAAAUACCGCCCCCAACAGGCUGUAGGUAGGCACUGCAUCUUAAAAAAAAAAAUUCAAACAUUGAAAUAUUUCAUAUUUUAUUCUGGUCCAGAUUAAUGUGAUUUUAAUACAAUGAAACGGUUAUAAAUCUCUGAUGCGUUUGUUGUGAACUGGCUCUGUAUUAAAUCUAAACCCGAACAAUUUUUAAUAAAGAAAAAACAGAAACAGGACUUAUUUUUUUCAGUUUUAAUCAAACAUUUGUUCCAAAAGUUCAUUUACUGAUAAACCAGCUAAAAAUAUGAUAAAUAUAAAAACAUCAAGCAGUUUCCACCCGAACCUGAGGGUUAAAGACUCUUCAGAGAACAUUCAGAGGCCCAACCGGAACAUCUGGACCUCCUCAGUCAGCUGCGUGGCACAUCAGCACAUUUAGGACGAAUGAAGCUGGACUUCAGCAUCAGGCUGGAGAGCCCACGACAGCACCCCGGUCGCAAACCACUGUUACCAUGGCAUCCAUGGUGGGUGGCCGCCUCCCUGUUUCUGUACAUUCACACCCAAAGCUGAGGCGUCAGAUCCAACCAGAGCGCUGGGAAAACUGGGAAAACUGGGAAAACCUCCAGCAGGUGACGCAGUCUCAACAUCACACGGAGCAAACGGGUUUUUACAGGUAGUAGCGGGCACUGCCAGCUAAUUGGUUAGCCAUGCUGAGCCAGGUUAGCACUAACAUUACUUCCACAGAUGCUAAAGCGCUAUACCAACAUGGAUUUAGCUAAACAUAUUAGCUGAAUAUACAUAGCUAUUAGCUACAGUUAAUACUGUUAGCUGAAGUAAAGCUAAAUCGCUAAAGUCAACCCUGUUGAUGCUUUAACAACAGCCAACUAAAUUAUUACGUCAGAAGUUUACUGGAAAAUUAAAUUCAGGGGAGACCAAGUACACUAAACAUUUGUCAAAACGUGCAAAGCGAAAUAUUAGCUCUGCUGUUAUCAAAUUAGUGGACGUGUGUCCACCACUUUUAUCCAUGUCAGGAAUAAAAGGAAAGCGGAGCAGAGAGGCUGCAUGCUGUCGCAGGCUCUGCCAAAUUCAGCUGAAGCUUCAACCGAGCUCAGAUCCAAACCCGUCGCCAUGGAAACGACGGGUCUGAACCAGUAUCUGAGGCAGGAGAGAAAGAACCAAAAUGUGAAACUUUUGCAGAGCGUGAGCCUCAGUCUGAGUUCAGCUUUUUAGUUACAUUUGAAGUCAUUUAGUUGUAAAUGUUGUCCAGGCAUGAUGCUGCCAAACAUUCAGUCACCUUUCCCUGGAAAUCAGACCAAAUGUUACAAACUGUCCCUUUAACCUGGGGUCAUUACAGUCACAAACGGCUACUUUAUGAUUAGAAAACACCCGGCACAUUUUAAACACACUGUAAAAACCUCUCUGUAGAUUUAAGCUCAAAAUAUCCAAAAACAUCAAACCAGAGAAUAAAAAUCUUCCACUUCUUUUCCAAUCCGCCUCCGUUGAUCCGAACGGCUGGAAGGACGAAGUCACAGUGAACACGGGUACAAGUCACGAGUCUCUAAAACAUAAUUCUGAUUUUACUAAUCUCUUCUACUAGGUCGACGCACGUUUACGACGAGGCACGAAAACUGCACGAGAAAAGCCGAAGUCACGAGUUUCCACACAUUCAGUUCACAAUCACUAACCCACAGGCAGCGCUCGCUGGUCCUAGUCAAAUCAUCCACUUAUUACAACGGCAGACACACAUUUAAACACUGGAACCAGUAAAGUCCACUUCCAGCUGCUGAAGCAGGUGGAGUUUCCACCGACAGGCAGGACUGAAGCAGGAAGGCACAGCGGCGCCGAGCGAAG